UAAUACGUAGGGAGCAAGCGUUGUCCGGAAUUACUGGGCGUAAAGGGUGCGUAGGUGGCCAUGCAAGUCAGAUGUGAAAUCCCCGGGCUUAACUCGGGGGGUGCAUUUGAAACUGCGUGGCUUGAGUGCAGGAGAGGAAAGCGGAAUUCCUAGUGUAGCGGUGAAAUGCGUAGAUAUUAGGAGGAACACCAGUGGCGAAGGCGGCUUUCUGGACUGUAACUGACACUGAGGCACGAAAGCGUGGGGAGCAAACAGG
rnacentral:rRNA from 1 species